ACCUGCACGAAUGGCGUAAUGAUGGCCAGGCUGUCUCCACCCGAGACUCAGUGAAAUUGAACUCGCUGUGAAGAUGCAGUGUACCCGCGGCAAGACGGAAAGACCCCGUGAACCUUUACUAUAGCUUGACACUGAACAUUGAGCCUUGAUGUGUAGGAUAGGUGGGAGGCUUUGAAGUGUGGACGCCAGUCUGCAUGGAGCCGGCCUUGAAAUACCACCCUUUAAUGUUUGAUGUUCUAACGUUGACCCGUGAUCCGGGUUGCGGACAGUGUCUGGUGGGUAGUUUGACUGGGGCGGUCUCCUCCUAAAGAGUAACGGAGGAGCACGAAGGUUGGCUAAUCCUGGUCGGACAUCAGGAGGUUAGUGCAAUGGCAUAAGCCAGCUUGACUGCGAGCGUGACGGCGCGAGCAGGUGCGAAAGCAGGUCAUAGUGAUCCGGUGGUUCUGAAUGGAAGGGCCAUCGCUCAACGGAUAAAAGGUACUCCGGGGAUAACAGGCUGAUACCGCCCAAGAGUUCAUAUCGACGGCGGUGUUUGGCACCUCGAUGUCGGCUCAUCACAUCCUGGGGCUGAAGUAGGUCCCAAGGGUAUGGCUGUUCGCCAUUUAAAGUGGUACGCGAGCUGGGUUUAGAACGUCGUGAGACAGUUCGGUCCCUAUCUGCCGUGGGCGCUGGAGAACUGAGGGGGGCUGCUCCUAGUACGAGAGGACCGGAGUGGACGCAUCACUGGUGUUCGGGUUGUCAUGCCAAUGGCACUGCCCGGUAGCUAAAUGCGGAAGAGAUAAGUGCUGAAAGCAUCUAAGCACGAAACUUGCCCCGAGAUGAGUUCUCCCUGACUCCUUGAGAGUCCUGAAGGAACGUUGAAGACGACGACGUUGAUAGGCCGGGUGUGUAAGCGCAGCGAUGCGUUGAGCUAACCGGUACUAAUGAACCGUGAGG
rnacentral:rRNA from 1 species